ensembl:snRNA U6 U6 spliceosomal RNA
UAUCAUGAGGAUACUUGUUAAAAAUAUCAAUUGCCGGAAUGAUACAGAGAAGAUUAGCAUGGCCCCUGCACAAGGAUGACUGCAAAUUCGUGAAGCAUUCCAUAUUUUU